CAGGAAGCAGCUUGCUGCUUCGCUGACGAGUGGCGGACGGGUGAGUAAUGUCUGGGAAACUGCCUGAUGGAGGGGGAUAACUACUGGAAACGGUGGCUAAUACCGCAUAACGUCGCAAGACCAAAGAGGGGGACCUUCGGGCCUCUUGCCAUCAGAUGUGCCCAGAUGGGAUUAGCUUGUUGGUGAGGUAACGGCUCACCAAGGCGACGAUCCCUAGCUGGUCUGAGAGGAUGACCAGCCACACUGGAACUGAGACACGGUCCAGACUCCUACGGGAGGCAGCAGUGGGGAAUAUUGCACAAUGGGCGCAAGCCUGAUGCAGCCAUGCCGCGUGUAUGAAGAAGGCCUUC
rnacentral:rRNA from 1 species